AUUGAACGCUGGCGGCAGGCUUAACACAUGCAAGCCGAGCGGAGUGAUGGUGCUUGCACUAUCACUUAGCGGCGGACGGGUGAGUAAUGCUUAGGAAUCUGCCUAUUAGUGGGGGACAACAUCUCGAAAGGGAUGCUAAUACCGCAUACGUCCUACGGGAGAAAGCAGGGGAUCACUUGUGACCUUGCGCUAAUAGAUGAGCCUAAGUCGGAUUAGCUAGUUGGUGGGGUAAAGGCCUACCAAGGCGACGAUCUGUAGCAGGUCUGAGAGGAUGAUCCGCCACACUAGGACUGAGACACGGCCCAGACUCCUACGGGAGGCAGCAGUGGGGAAUAUUGGACAAUGGGGGGAACCCUGAUCCAGCCAUGCCGCGUGUGUGGAGAAGGCCUUAUGGUUGUAAAGCACUUUAAGCGAGGAGGAGGCUCUUCUGGUUAAUACCCAGGAUGAGUGGACGUUACUCGCAGAAUAAGCACCGGCUAACUCUGUGCCAGCCGCCGCGGUAAGAC
rnacentral:rRNA from 1 species